UACGUAGGGGGCAAGCGUUGUCCGGAAUCAUUGGGCGUAAAGGGCGCGUAGGUGGCCUUCUAAGCGUGCGGUGAAAGCCUGGGGCUCAACCCCGGGUCGGCCGUGCGAACUGGGGGGCUUGAGCACUGUAGAGGCAGGCGGAAUUCCGGGUGUAGCGGUGGAAUGCGUAGAGAUCCGGAAGAACACCGGUGGCGAAGGCGGCCUGCUGGGCAGUUUUGCUGACACUGAGGCGCGACAGCGUGGGGAGCAAACAGG
rnacentral:rRNA from 1 species